rfam:Triticum urartu cultivar G1812 contig683717, whole genome shotgun sequence.
GUAAUACUCCCUCCGUUCCGAAUUACUUGUCUUGGAUUUGUCAAGAUACGGAUGUAUCUAGACUCAUUUUAGUGCUAGAUACCUCCGUAUCUAGACAAAUCCAAGACAAGUAAUUCGGAACGGAGGGAGUACAAG